rnacentral:rRNA from 13 species
AGAGUUUGAUCAUGGCUCAGAUUGAACGCUGGCGGCAGGCCUAACACAUGCAAGUCGAACGGUAACAGGAAACAGCUUGCUGUUUCGCUGACGAGUGGCGGACGGGUGAGUAAUGUCUGGGAAACUGCCUGAUGGAGGGGGAUAACUACUGGAAACGGUAGCUAAUACCGCAUAACGUCGCAAGACCAAAGAGGGGGACCUUCGGGCCUCUUGCCAUCGGAUGUGCCCAGAUGGGAUUAGCUAGUAGGUGGGGUAAAGGCUCACCUAGGCGACGAUCCCUAGCUGGUCUGAGAGGAUGACCAGCCACACUGGAACUGAGACACGGUCCAGACUCCUACGGGAGGCAGCAGUGGGGAAUAUUGCACAAUGGGCGCAAGCCUGAUGCAGCCAUGCCGCGUGUAUGAAGAAGGCCUUCGGGUUGUAAAGUACUUUCAGCGGGGAGGAAGGGAGUAAAGUUAAUACCUUUGCUCAUUGACGUUACCCGCAGAAGAAGCACCGGCUAACUCCGUGCCAGCAGCCGCGGUAAUACGGAGGGUGCAAGCGUUAAUCGGAAUUACUGGGCGUAAAGCGCACGCAGGCGGUUUGUUAAGUCAGAUGUGAAAUCCCCGGGCUCAACCUGGGAACUGCAUCUGAUACUGGCAAGCUUGAGUCUCGUAGAGGGGGGUAGAAUUCCAGGUGUAGCGGUGAAAUGCGUAGAGAUCUGGAGGAAUACCGGUGGCGAAGGCGGCCCCCUGGACGAAGACUGACGCUCAGGUGCGAAAGCGUGGGGAGCAAACAGGAUUAGAUACCCUGGUAGUCCACGCCGUAAACGAUGUCGACUUGGAGGUUGUGCCCUUGAGGCGUGGCUUCCGGAGCUAACGCGUUAAGUCGACCGCCUGGGGAGUACGGCCGCAAGGUUAAAACUCAAAUGAAUUGACGGGGGCCCGCACAAGCGGUGGAGCAUGUGGUUUAAUUCGAUGCAACGCGAAGAACCUUACCUGGUCUUGACAUCCACGGAAGUUUUCAGAGAUGAGAAUGUGCCUUCGGGAACCGUGAGACAGGUGCUGCAUGGCUGUCGUCAGCUCGUGUUGUGAAAUGUUGGGUUAAGUCCCGCAACGAGCGCAACCCUUAUCCUUUGUUGCCAGCGGUCCGGCCGGGAACUCAAAGGAGACUGCCAGUGAUAAACUGGAGGAAGGUGGGGAUGACGUCAAGUCAUCAUGGCCCUUACGACCAGGGCUACACACGUGCUACAAUGGCGCAUACAAAGAGAAGCGAUCUCGCGAGAGCAAGCGGACCUCAUAAAGUGCGUCGUAGUCCGGAUUGGAGUCUGCAACUCGACUCCAUGAAGUCGGAAUCGCUAGUAAUCGUGGAUCAGAAUGCCACGGUGAAUACGUUCCCGGGCCUUGUACACACCGCCCGUCACACCAUGGGAGUGGGUUGCAAAAGAAGUAGGUAGCUUAACCUUCGGGAGGGCGCUUACCACUUUGUGAUUCAUGACUGGGGUGAAGUCGUAACAAGGUAACCGUAGGGGAACCUGCGGUUGGAUCACCU